rnacentral:rRNA from 1 species
GUCCUUUUGAUAAUAAUUUAAGGUCUAAUCUGCUCAAUGAUAAUUAAAUAGCCGCAGUAUUUUGACUGUGCAAAGGUAGCGUGAUAAUUAGUUUCUUAAUUAGAAACUUGAAUGAAUGAUUGGACAAGAAAAUUUCUGUCUCUUUUUAAUUUUUUGUGAAUUUAAUUUUUAAGUUAAAAUGCUUAAAUGGUUAUAAAAGACGAGAAGACCCCAUAGAGUUUUAUUUUUAUUAGUUUUUAGUAUGAUUUUUAAAAUUAAAAAAUUGGUUGGGGUGACUAAAAGAUUUAAUAAACUCUUUUAAUUUUAAUCAUAGAUUUAUGAAUAGAAAGUCUAAUUUUUUUAAAUUUAAAUUAAGUUACCUUGGGGAUAACAGCGUAAUUUCUUUUAGAGUUCUUAUCGAAUUAGAAGAUUGCGACCUCGAUGUUGGAUUAAAAUUUAUUUUAGGUGUAGGAGCUUAAAAAUUGAGUCUGUUCGACUCUUACAAUUUUACA